GCAGUUACAGAUACUUUAAUUCUCUGCCCAUCCACGUUCUAAACUGCUACAACAAUAAUGGCUUCAAUAAUUUUUUUACUCUCCAUAUUCCAUUCAAUUGCACGAAGUUGAAAAACAAACCAUGGAGUUCGCUCGGUUUCAUCUGUCUCUCUCAAAAUCAACAAGUGUUUCCCUAAAAAAUCCAUGGCUAUGGCAAACACAAACCAUUCUCUCAACCUCAUAAAUGGUUCACGAAAGCAUAUAGCAGAUGCAAUCAAACACAAACAUAAACCCUAACCCCAUAAAUCACCCGAGCCCCAAUUCAAUAUUUUUGAUGUUUGCAAAUUACCAUCAUGAAUCGCUCAAAGGAAUCAAUAAGCAUGCUCAGAUAAUACAUAAAAUUAUUAUCAGGGAAGAAAAAGAUACCCAAAUCAAAAGCCAUAGUGACGAUGGUACACAGGAUUCUAUCCAGCCAUUCAGAAUUUGGAGAGCUGAUUUGAGAUCGAAUUGAUAAUCUGAAAAAUAAUGACUUGGCUGAGACCCAUCGAUACUGAAUGCUUUUGAUAAAGAAAUGGAAGGAACUAACCUCUCAAGGAUUAUCCCGGGUGUAGCUUUUGUUAUUAACCAUUCAUGUGCUUUGAUCAUUAUUUUUGAUUCCAAGUCUUCUACAGCCAAUCUCCGUUACUUGAAACCUGGAUAAUAUUUGGUUUAGCUUGUGAUGUUGCAGUUUUGUGACUGAACCGAUAUCAAUUGACCUGAAUGUUGCAUUGAAAUCUACUUGUGAAUAGUAUGAUCAUUAUUG